AUUGAACGCUGGCGGCAGGCUUAACACAUGCAAGUCGAGCGAGCGGCGGACGGGUGAGUAAUGUCUGGGAAACUGCCUGAUGGCGGGGGAUAACUACUGGAAACGGUAGCUAAUACCGCAUACCAUCAGAUGUGCCCAGAUGUGAUUAGCUAGUGGGUGGGGUAACGGCUCACCUAGGCGCCGAUCCCUAGCUGGUCUGAGAGGAUGACCAGCCACACUGGAACGGAGACACGGUCCAGACUCCUACGGGAGGCGCCAUUGGGGAAUAUUGCAAAAGGGGCGCAGUCCUGAUGCAGCCAUGCCGGGGAUGUGAAGAAGUCCUUCGGGUUUUAAAGCACUUUCAGCGGGAAGGCGUUACCCGCAGAAGAAGCACCGGCUAACUCCGUGCCAGCAGCCGCGGUAAUUC
rnacentral:rRNA from 1 species